ensembl:lncRNA
CAGUACACAUCAGAAUGUUACUGCAGUACAUACCAGAAUGUUACUGCAGUACAUAUCAGAAUGUUACUGACAGUACAUAUCAGAAUGUUACUGACAGUACAUAUCAGAAUGUUACUGACAGUACAUAUCAGAAUGUUACUGCAGUACAUAUCAGAAUGUUACUGACAGUACAUAUCAGAAUGUUACUGACAGUACAUAUCAGAAUGUUACUGACAGUACAUAUCAGAAUGUUACUGACAUACAUAUCAGAAUGUCCCUUCUGUGUCUCUGAUAGGAUUAUAACAUGCUGUUACUGCAGUACAUGUCAGAAUGUCACUGCAGUACAUGUCAGAAUGUUACUGCAGUACAUAUCAGAAUGUUACUGCAGUACAUACCAGAAUGUUACUGCAGUACAUAUCAGAAUGUUACUGCAGUACAUAUCAGAAUGUUACUGCAGUACAUAUCAGAAUGUUACUGACAGUACAUAUCAGAAUGUUCCUGCAGUACAUAUCAGAAUGUUACUGCAGUACAUAUCAGAAUGUUACUGACAUACAUAUCAGAAUGUUACUGACAGUACAUAUCAGAAUGUUCCUGCAGUACAUAUCAGAAUGUUACUG